UUGUGUCUUCGAGUCGUUGAUUUCACACUGCCGAGAAAAGCCUCUAGAUAGAAAAUAGGUGCCCGUACCGCAAACCGACACAGGUAGUCAAGAUGAGAAUUCUAAGGUGAGCGAGCGAACUCUCGUUAAGGAACUCGGCAAAAUGACCCCGUAACUUCGGGAGAAGGGGUGCUCUUUAGGGUUAACGCCCAGAAGAGCCGCAGUGAAUAGGCCCAAGCGACUGUUUAUCAAAAACACAGGUCUCUGCUAAACCGUAAGGUGAUGUAUAGGGGCUGACGCCUGCCCGGUGCUGGAAGGUUAAGAGGAGUGGUUAGCUUCUGCGAAGCUACGAAUCGAAGCCCCAGUAAACGGCGGCCGUAACUAUAACGGUCCUAAGGUAGCGAAAUUCCUUGUCGGGUAAGUUCCGACCCGCACGAAAGGCGUAACGAUUUGGGCACUGUCUCAACGAGAGACUCGGUGAAAUCAUAGUACCUGUGAAGAUGCAGGUUACCCGCGACAGGACGGAAAGACCCCGUGGAGCUUUACUGUAGCCUGAUAUUGAAAUUCGGCACAGCUUGUACAGGAUAGGUAGGAGCCUUUGAAACGUGAGCGCUAGCUUACGUGGAGGCGCUGGUGGGAUACUACCCUAGCUGUGUUGGCUUUCUAACCCGCACCACUUAUCGUGGUGGGAGACAGUGUCAGGCGGGCAGUUUGACUGGGGCGGUCGCCUCCUAAAAGGUAACGGAGGCGCUCAAAGGUUCCCUCAGAAUGGUUGGAAAUCAUUCAUAGAGUGUAAAGGCAUAAGGGAGCUUGACUGCGAGACCUACAAGUCGAGCAGGGUCGAAAGACGGACUUAGUGAUCCGGUGGUUCCGCAUGGAAGGGCCAUCGCUCAACGGAUAAAAGCUACCCCGGGGAUAACAGGCUUAUCUCCCCCAAGAGUUCACAUCGACGGGGAGGUUUGGCACCUCGAUGUCGGCUCAUCGCAUCCUGGGGCUGUAGUCGGUCCCAAGGGUUGGGCUGUUCGCCCAUUAAAGCGGUACGCGAGCUGGGUUCAGAACGUCGUGAGACAGUUCGGUCCCUAUCCGUCGUGGGCGUAGGAAAUUUGAGAGGAGCUGUCCUUAGUACGAGAGGACCGGGAUGGACAUACCUCUGGUGUACCAGUUGUCGUGCCAACGGCAUAGCUGGGUAGCUAUGUGUGGACGGGAUAAGUGCUGAAAGCAUCUAAGCAUGAAGCCCCCCUCAAGAUGAGAUUUCCCAACUUCGGUUAUAAGAUCCCUCAAAGAUGAUGAGGUUAAUA
rnacentral:rRNA from 1 species